ensembl:snRNA U6 U6 spliceosomal RNA
GUGUUCACUUUGGCAGCACAUAUAUUAAAAUUGGAAUGAUACAGAGAUUAGCAUGGCCCCUGCCCAAGGAUGAUGCUCAAAUCUGUGAAGCAUUCCAUAUUUUU